CCCGACCAGUUUACCCAUGAGGCCACACCUGACACACACAUCCCUUUGUUCAGGUCAGCAAAGUUCCAGGGACGUAUUGGAGCCCCUGAAAGUGUUUUGUCGUAUAAAGCGACAGAGAAGGACAUAUUUGAAGAUUUGAAAGGUUGCCAGGAUUUGCCACAGUGCCUUCUCCAAAAGGAACAGGACUUCAAAGGUUUUCUGGCAUAUGUUGAGGGACAGAAGCUUCAGGAUACACUGCUGUCUGCAUCUGAAUUGUCAUCCAACUAUCAAAACAAAAUUCUCCUCAUGAUGGACGAGGAGGCAGAAUCACUACAGAGAGCAGAAGAGGAACACUUAAAGGACCCUUUGAACUCCAUGAAGGUUGGCCAAGCCUGCCUACGCAAUGACUCAUGCCUCACGAAGGUUCACAGGGACACAGUAGUGAGGAUAUUUGGUCAGACCUCGG
ensembl:lncRNA